rnacentral:rRNA from 1 species
ACAGUCAUCCACACCACCCUGAACAGUACCCGAUCUUGUCUGAUCUCAGAAGCUAAGCAGGUUCAAUUCUGUUGGUACCUGGAUGGGAAGGAAGCCUGAGGGUUGGAUUUA